CAAAAGCAUUCCUGGCCCAAAAGUGAUAUUUAAAAUUGGACUUUUAGUUAGAGUUUGUAUAAAAAUGUAUUUCUCAGUUUUUUUCAGGAACACUAGUUAAGGUAGAGUGUUUAAAUAUCUUAGCAUGCUUGUUACUGUUCACAUACCUCCAGUUCCAGGUUGACUUUGUCAUUAUAGGAUAUAGGAGCAACAACUUGUAAUUAAUUCAGGUUGCAAAACAAUUUCUGUGGGCACAGUGUGUGCGUGUAAGCAUAUUCAUAUUCCAUGUAAUACCUGUGAAACCUGUUUAUCAUCAAAUACAACUGAAAAAGAAGAUGGACCAGGCAAGUAGCAAAACUAUUAUAUUGGUUUCUAUACAAUGUUCAGUGAUCUAUAGGAAGAAUUUCCAGCACUUUGAGUGGAGUCCCAUAGAGGAGUAAUGGGAGUAUGGGACAUGAAUGUCACAUAAUAUGAGAAGCUGUUACAGAGAAUACAGAUUAUUUUUUAAAUGUUUGAGGCUUCUACCAUUUAAAUGUACUUUACCCAUACAGCUGUCUGCAGGAUGAAAGCUCAAAGACAUUAAGAAAAGACAAAUAGUGAAGUGUUACAAGAUGAUUUCACAGUUGUCGCUGCAGUAUAAUUCUGAAGUUUUGACCCAUUUCUUAACCUGUUAUGUGUUCUGUUCUUUAUGAAAUCAGAUCUUGGAAAUAAAUAUCAUUAUCACAUUUA